rnacentral:rRNA from 1 species
AGUGAACGCUGGCGGUAGGCCUAACACAUGCAAGUCGAACGGCAGCACAGUAAGAGCUUGCUCUUACGGGUGGCGAGUGGCGGACGGGUGAGGAAUACAUCGGAAUCUACUUUUUCGUGGGGGAUAACGUAGGGAAACUUACGCUAAUACCGCAUACGACCUACGGGUGAAAGCAGGGGAUCUUCGGACCCUGCGCGAUUGAAUGAGCCGAUGUCGGAUUAGCUAGUUGGCGGGGUAAAGGCCCACCAAGGCGACGAUCCGUAGCUGGUCUGAGAGGAUGAUCAGCCACACUGGAACUGAGACACGGUCCAGACUCCUACGGGAGGCAGCAGUGGGGAAUAUUGGACAGUGGGCGCAAGCCUGAUCCAGCCAUACCGCGUGGGUGAAGAAGGCCUUCGGGUUGUAAAGCCCUUUUGUUGGGAAAGAAAAGCAGCAGGUUAAUACCCCGCUGUUCUGACGGUACCCAAAGAAUAAGCACCGGCUAACUUCGU